CCCUGGCUGGCUUAGUCGGUAGAGCACGUGACUCUCGAUCUUGGGGUCAUGAGUUCAAACUUUGUGUUGGGCA
rnacentral:tRNA from 1 species